UAAAUCAUUAAGAUUACUGUAGAACAGGAGUAGCACCAACUUUGGGAGGUAAAACCAAAGGUUGAUUGCGAUGCCAAAAAUUUAAAAGUAGAGAGGAAAUCUUAGCGGGAACAUCUUCAUGAACAAAAUGACCAGUUUCAGGAAGAAUCUCAAGUUGAUAUUUUCCUUGCAUUUGUCCAAUUGUUAACGUUUUAUCUAGACGAUCGGUACCAGCGACAAUAAGCAUCCUUCCAUAUGGUGCUCUUAGGAAUUUGUCACUUAAACCCUUAAACCAGUCCAUCCAAUACGGCGAUGUUUUGUAAAGAUCGGUUCGCCAAACGAAUGUGCCAUCUUCCUGCUGAACGAGAAGUGAAGGAACUGUAAUACAGGCCGAUAAUCUGUUUCUAGUAACUAAAGUCUUGAUAUGCCAAGAAAUUGCAUCAUCAAUUGAUUUAAAGCUAGUAGGACGAUUAGAGAGGUACGUUUUCAUAAAACCCAAUGCUUCCAUCGCAGUCCCUUCAACCACAUCAAUGACAACAAGUCCAGAAGUAUUGGGAAUAGUUUUUUGAAAAGCACAGUAAGCACAAAUGGCACCUCCUAAGCUAUGUCCGACCAAAAUGAUUUUUUCAUCAAGCUCAAACAUACGUUGAACAUAGGAGACUGCGUGAGUAAAGUCCUUAGAUAAUGUUUCCAAGCUCAUAUCUGAUUCGGGUUCUAACGUUGUUUCUCCAUGAGCUCGAAGGUCCAACGCUAAAAAACCAACCUUAUUAUCUGAAUUACUCAAGAGCUCUUGUGUAACCGGUGCAAAUGACAUGGCACUUGAGCCAGCACCGUGUUGCAAAACAAGUAAGCAACCAUCUGGUUGUGGAAGUGUUAAGUACCCAUUGAUAGUCCCAUUCAAAGCCCCACUUUCACCAGGAAUUGUUAACUUUUCAUCAAAGUAAUUUCGCCAAUCGCUUAAACUCUCUUCAUUAUUUAACAUUAGUUCCUUGGUUUCGGAUGAUUGCUCAGAUUCAUUCUCAUAGAGUGUUUGACUGAGUUCUUCUUUACGAAAUGCCAUUAUAAAGUAUUAUAAUAUCUUUUUUAGCUUACACGCAGCACUAUAAAUAGUUCACACGAAUUCCUCGUUGGUUUUAUGAAGAUAGAAUAUACAAUCCCAGAAGCAGAAACGGACCUGAUUGAAAAAAAAAAAAAUUAAUUCAAUGUAAUUCUG